GAUCUCAAUCGUCUAUCUGAGACGAAUCGCUUUCCCCGACUCCCGCAGCCCCUCAUCAUCCGCCUCCCUCGACGCGAUUGAGCUCUCCCCGGAGUCCCGUUCCUCCACCCUCUCAUCUCUCCCUCUGCUGCCCAUGUCCCCUCUACCGCCGGCCGUCCCUUUCCCCUCCUUCUUCUGACCAUCUCUCCUUCUCUGUUACCCUCCCCCACCUAGCACGGGUGCCCUACCACCUUCCCCUCCCUCUGCUACCCAUCUCCGCUUCCCUCUUCCCAUCCCCCUCCUCGCACGGGUGCUCUUCCACCGUCAACGUAGCGCACGACCGGCGUCUCUUUCACUUGGCAACCUGCUUAAGGCUAUUACUUGAACUGAUAGACUGUACGCUUUUUCUGUCUGAAGUUCAAAAACAGCUGAACAGCUAGCAAAAGUGCACAACCUUGUUUGAGGCGUCCAAGGUUUGAAUGUCAUUGGAGUCAAAAUUCCAACUUGCCUGUCACGGAGAAAGGAAAAAUCAUUAACUAGAAGAGCCAUGAGCAAAAAAGGAAGUAAAGUUAAAGAACAAGGUGGAUCAAGCUCAUGGAAGUUGUCUACAUUAGCAGUGAAUUUUAGACCAACUCUGAUCACCCCAUGGUAGCUGAGAUCUUUCAGUACAACAUUGUACGGAGCUGCUUUCACUUCCAUGCUUCCUUUCUCAUUGCCUUCUGUGAUGAUCCCUCCUAAAUGUAUCCUGUAAUCCAUUAUGUUGACAGUUGCAAUAUAAAAUUAUAAUAUAACCUUUCAUCCAACUUCCUGAUGACAGACAAGGUAAUAAAACUGAUAGUUCUCUGUCUACGAAUUCUGUAUCUCUUGUACGUAUGACUUUUUGCUAGAGCAUGUGAAGUAUUGCCUUCUUCAAUCCCUUGGCAGCUUCAAGUUGACUGAUAAGAUUAACAGCCUUAAGAGUCUGUAUCCAAGAACUUGCUGGACACUAUUCUAGCAAUGUUAAGAAUAAGAUGUGGGCUUUCAGUAGGAAAUUCCUUCAGUCUUUGCGGAAGGAAAUUGCUUGUCUUUUAAGAAUGGACUAUAAGUUUAUCCAUCUGUAUCGUACUGUUCCUGGGAAUGUCUUCAUUUGGUGCAGGAGGGCUUAUAUUCUUAUGUGCAGAUGAGCCACUCUGCGAACCUAACACCUCUGUGGACAUAGGAGCCCUGAUGGAACAAUAAUUGAUAUGGCGAUCCAUUCCUGUAAGAAAUGGUCAAAGAGGAGAGGGAAACAACUAGGAAAGUGGAUCACAACCUUUUCUCAAUGGAGAAAAUUGCAUUUUCUGGAGAAUAUAUUUGGUUAAAGAGAAAAACAACUAGGAAAAGGGGAUCGCAGCCCUCUCAACAGAGAGAAGAGCAUCUUCUUGAGAAUGUCUGGCCCUUUGAAACAUGGAUUUUAGUUUCUUGCGAGUUCUCCCUCACCGGGAUAUUGAUGUCAACGUGGAAUCAUUUAACCAACCAAAAGCUAAAUUAAUAGGAAGAGAGGACAAUUACAAUGUUUC